rnacentral:lncRNA from 1 species
GAUCUACUUUGUAGAAAAUAGGUAGCAACAUGUGUCCAUAUUUUCUACGACACUCAACAGUUUUUACAAGUUCUAACAAACACCAGCUUGAAGAAGCAUAGUUUUCUGAAAAUAUAAUCAAAUAAAUAGAUGAUACUUCAAUUGCUCUUAGAAGUGCAUCAGAUAUUUGAUGUCCUUUGGGAAUAUUGUAAUCUACGAAGGAAACAAUCUGGUUUAGAGAAAGUGCCUCAAUCAAAUGGCUAAGGAAACCUACACGAACAUCUGGACCUCUAAAGCUAACAAAGACAUCGUAGUUUGAUUGAAGAGUGUGAGUGGAAGAAGCAGAAGAUGUCAGUGGAACCCACAAACUAAGAGAAAGAAAUAGAAGAAAGGCGUUUUUAUUAGAAAUGCGAGAAAGAUAGCAGUAAGGCAUGGAUGAUCUUUCUUCACGUUUGAACCUUAAGUAGUAUAAGGGUUGUGGAAGGUUGGGCUGAAGUAUUCCUUUAAAUAAGAAAACCAGCAUAUGAAAAAAGGGUAUUAAGAAAAACUUCAUGCAGGAUGAACUUACAGCCUCUUUGGUUACCGGAGUGGAGGAGAACCGUGACUGCAACUCAGUGCAGAGAAAUAAGGAGAGAGAGAGAGUUCAUUUACAAUAUGUGCAAGAGCAAUGAUAUAUAUACUUGUUUCACUGUACAACUGAUAUAGAAAGAAAAGGAAUAUUUUUGUCAUAUGUUGAAAUUUUAGGUAAACUGAUAUAAAAAGAAAAGGUAUAUUUUUGUCAUCUCAGCUCAGUACGCAUAGAAGUACGCAUAGAAGUAAAGUCUACCUCUAUUUACUCUACUGACUUUAUUAUACAUACCAGCUCUACUGACUUUAUUAUACCUGUACCAGGAACCCAAGCCUACCUCUUCUCAUUGAAGUUUCGAUGAACGGGGUAUUCCGUCAAGAGCCAAAUUGACCUGUACCGCACAAGGAAAGAUCUCAAUCGGCGUAGGGUAAAAGUAAGAAAGUGGUAUUAAAAAAAAGUAAGAAAGUGGUAUUAAAAAAAAGUAAGAAAGUGGUAUUAAAAAAACAAGGUUAAGCAAGAUUGUCAUUUUCCUAUGUGCAAUAUGUGCCCUCCUUUUUUUAUUUAUAAAAAUAAUUUUUCCUUUGUUCCAAAUUACACUUUGAAUUACUUAUAAAUUGGUACUUUUGUAAAAUAAUUGGACGUGGAUGUAAUUUGAAAUCAGUGUAAAAAUGUUACACAGUGUUUCGUUCCACAUUCCAAUUUUUUUUGGAAUUAAGUGUAUCAUUUGCUCUAAGCCAAUAAUUGUGAUACAUUAACAAUACUGUUCAUAAACUACGCGAAAUCUAAAGAGGCAUAUAAUCAAACAUAAAAAAAAAAUAUAACUAAAAUUGUAAAAAUAAUAAUUAUAAAAAUAUAAAUAUAUUUAUAAUAUAUAUAUUAAUAAAAAAAGUGAACUAUAUUAAUAAUAAACAUUAAAAUAAUAAUAAUAUUUAAAAUUAAUUUUAAAAAUAAUAAUAAUAAAUAUAAAUUAAAUAAUUUAGUAAUAAUUAAAUAAACUUAUUAAAUAAUAAUAUUAUUAAUAAUUAUUAUUUUUAUUUUAUUUUAUUUGUAUCAAAUAUUUAAUAAUAUUAUUAUUAAUAAUAAUAAAAAUAAAUGUAAUUAUUAAUAUAAAAUAAAUUAAUUAUCUUUUUAAAAUAUAAAAAUAAAUUUAUAAAAAAUAGAGAAUUUGUAUUUUUUUUAAUAAUAAUAUUAAUUAAAAGGGUGUUUGGGUGUUUUCUUAAACAGACGCUGCGAAAGAGGAAGACUUUUGAGAGAGAGCAGAAAAUGUGAACAAUCACAACUCAAAUUUUGUAAUCCAACACAAAAGGAUGGAAAAGCAAACCUAAAUCAACACAUUUACCGCUUUUCACUCUCUCAACAAACACAAUAUUAUACUUAAAAAAUCAUUAAAUAAAAAUUAAUUUAAAAUAAAAAAUUAAUUAUUAUAUUAACUAAAUUAAAAAUUAAUUUUAAAAAUUAAAAAUAUUAAUUUUUAUGGAUGGUGAAGCAAAAAGAAAUCAUUUGAUAGGAUGAAAUCAAAAGAUGAAUGAAAGAAGACGUAGAAACCCUAAACUACUAGCAAAUCAAUGCCUAAAAUGCAAAUAUAUCACGUCUUCCAAGUAACAUGUGUGUUUUGAUUUGAAAUUUGUGUGAAUUAGUAGUUAAAAUUUUGGUAACUAAUUAGAUACUAAUUUAGAAUUUAUUUAACAAUAAUAAAAACUAAUUUAGAAAUAAAAAAUUAUUUUAAUUUUUAAAAUAAUUUUUAAUUUAUUUAUAUGAUAAUUAAUUAUUUUUUAUCACUAAAAUUGAUUUCUAUUCAAUAAUUUUCUUGUGGUGUUAAAAGUGAAAUUAAAUUAAAUAAUAUUGCAACUAAAAAAGAAAAAACCAAUCCACUGUGUUCAAUUUUAUUUCCCUUUUACGUAUCCAAGAAGUUUAUAAGACACGAUAAUUUUGAGUGAUAGAUACUUGUAACUACGAUAUAACGUGAGAAGCUGAUCUCAGCAGUUGAAUUAUAAGCACAAAAUAAAAAUAUGUUGCUAUGUUGCUUGUUAAAUAAUGGUAGUAAAUAAAAUACAUCAAUUAUCAAAACUAAAGGCAAAGGGUUAUUUUAGAAGGCAGACCUUGGAAAUCCAAUCAGCGCAAACACCUCCAUGGACAUAUUUUGUAACUUCAAAUCCUUCUAGAACCCUAUUACAGAAUUUGAUAAUAAGAUAGUAUGCCACACCUUAAAAAAAUGUCGACUAAGGAACAGCAACUGUGGCAGACAAAAAUAACGAUAAACCUAGGCAUGUUGAAAUACGAGAUUCACUAACCAGAUCCCAAAGUAAACGAUUCAGUAACCAGAAUCCAAGUACCGUAGUUAUCAUAUUAAUUAUUUGUUGGGAGGAAGAGUAUGUUUGAGUAAACUUUUUCAUAAACACACUUAUAGGAGAAGAAAAUAAAAAGGAAAACUGAAAUAAAUCUCUUCAUAAGCUAAAAUUAUCUCACGCAUAACUUAAUUUGUAGAAACUCUCAUAUUUGCUUCCCCAAAAUCUUAUUAUUAUCUUAUACAUAGGCAAAUUUCAACUUACAGAGAACUCUAUUUCACUUUCUUUCAUAUUUUCUCCUCCUAGAAGUACUAUCUCCUCCUAGAAGUACUAAGAGAAAAAUGUAUUCAGACAGACAUAUAUAGUCAAAUUCAUAAAAUUCCAACCAAACCAAAGCUUCCUCCACCAGGGAUAAAUUAACAAGCCCUUUACAGCACACAAAAUUAACGCAUAAACCAUCACCAGGGAUAAAUGAACCUGCUAAGACAGCAAAGAGAAACCAGAAAAAAAAAAGCCAAGCCAAAGCCUCAACAGCACCAAAAAACAGUACUCAGAGUGGCAGCAGAGUUGUAUGGGACUUCUGAAACAACGAAGUAAAAAAUGAAAGUCAAAAAUCAAUUGUCAUGUACUCACAGUGGCCUACUUGAUUCACUUUCUUUGAUAACACUCUUGGUAUUGCAUUUUUAUUUUAUUUAAAGGCAUUCAAAUUCAAAACUUAUAAGGAUUCAUCAAUGUUUAAUUCUCCACCUUUAUUAGUAUCAAACAGUUUACGGGUUAUCAUGGAUAACAGCAGGGCAGGAUUAUCAUGGGUGGGUUAGGUUUGUUUUGUAAAUUGAGAUUGCUUUAUAAUAUGUCUUAAGGGUACUUGGCAAAGGUAUUUAUACAGACCUUGCUGCUUUUUAGGAUGAAUAAUACAUAGAAAGACUAAGCUUUUUCUAUCUGAUGGUUUUCUGUUUUGUAAGCUAGGUAAUAGGUUUUAUUUGGUUCUUAUACAAGAGACAUCCUUAAAAUGUUUCUUUAUAUUUAUUUUAUUUUUGUUGAUGAUAGAAAGAAUAGUAGAAUAGAAAUGUUUCUUUAUAUUUGUUGAUGAUAGAAAGAAUAGUAGAAUAGAAGAUGCUUUUGAGAAUGUCCUCAAUCAUGCAGAAGAGUCCAUUCUGCACAAAGGGUUUUCAAAUAGGAUGUCUUCAGAAUUCAACACUUAGAGGAUAAAUUUAAAUUUUUGUAUCAGUAAAAAAUUAAUUAAUUUAAAAGGAUAUUUAAGGUGUUCCAAUCCUAUAAAAAAAACAACAAUCCAACCCUCAUACUUACUAAUCAUAUUGCAGAAUUAAGCAUAAAAAACUCAAUAUAAAAAAGUGCAUAAAAAAGAUAAUUGGUUACAAAAAGUGCAUAAACAGGACUUUGUUAUUGUAAUUUGUGGGAACUUUGUAUCAAUAGUGCUACUUUUGGGAAGGGAAAUGGGGAAAUGGGGUUGUAUAUAUAAGGAAAAAUAGGUUAUAGGUGCUGUUUGUUUUGUCUCAUAAAUUCCCACUGCUGGAAAAUAGUGCAGAAUUUGCUGCAUAGAUUCAUCUUGCAGGUGCAGUGCUGGGAGUGCUAGGCUUUUAUGUUGUCUUAUAAUUGGAUAUGUUGGAUUGUAAGUUUGGUGAUGAGAUUUUUUUGGUAUCUAUAUAAAAGAUAGAGAUAUAUCUGAAAUGUUCAUUUGAAUUCAUUUAUUCAUUUGUUGAUAAAAUAUAAACAGUUUACAAAACACAUGUUUUAAAGUUUAAGUAUAGUGGAUAUAGAACAUGUCUAGAUUUUAGUUAGAAAAUUAAAUUAAGUUAAAUUCACUUAUAAGUGAAAAUGAAAAUAAUUCUUGUAAAUCAACUAGAGAUUAAGAGAAUCUUACCAAUAGAUCUUAUAACUGGAAGAUCUUCUAAUUUUAUUUGUAGCAAUGGUUCUGCAUGUGGAAACUGUGUACCAAUUUCAUAAGCCUCUUUAGAAUUAACUUUAUGUCUGAGAUUCAACACAGAUUUAACAAUCUCUUUAACAAGCUUAGCAUCAUUCCUGCAAAAUUCAAAAUAAUAUAUAUCAACAACACCUCAAUCAUAAUUAUUUUGCAAGUUCAAGUUCGAACUAUACACAGAAAGAAGCAUAAAAUGUUAGACAAUUUUGAUUGAGGAAAAAACUAACCGAAAAGUUGAUGAAUGAAAUCCUGCUACAUUUGCAGAUUCCUUCAAAGCAAAUCUCCAGGUUUGCACAGUGGUCGGAUUGUAUUGUCUGUCAUGAGCAACAAAGGCCUCUCCAUAACUUCCCCUCUGAUGUCGCACAUCUGAGGGAUCUACUUUGUAGAAAAUAGGUAGCAAGAUGUGUCCAUUUCUACUACACUCAACAAUUUUCACAAGUUCUAACAAACACCAGCUUGAAGAGACAUAGUUUUCUGAAAAUAUAAUCAAAUAAAUAGAUGAUACCUCAAUUGCUCUUAGAAGUACAUCAGAUAUUUUAUGUCCUUUAGGAAUGUUGUCAUCUCCAAAGGAAGCAAUCUGAUUUAGAGAAAAUGCCUCAAUUAAAUGGCUAAGGAAACCUUCACGAACAUCUGAACCUCUAAAGCUAACAAAGACAUCGUACUCUGGUUGAAGGGAGUAACUGGAAGAAGCAGAAGAUGUCAGUGGACACCACAAACUAUUUUCUACUGUUGGCUUUGCCGGAAGAGACAAACAAAUACAAGAUAUGCGAUUAUAAUAAAAACGCGAGAAAAAUAACAGUAAGACAAUUAUAAGGAGCAAAAAACUCACUCAAAAAAUGAAUGAAAUCCUGAUAGAUCAGCAGAUUCACUCCAAGCAGAUCUCCAGCUUUGCACAGU